ACGAACGCUGGCGGCGUGCUUAACACAUGCCAGUCGAACGGUGAAGCGCCUUCCUUUUUGGUGGGUGUGGAUGAGUGGCGAACGGGUGAGUAACACGUGAGUAACCUGCCCCCUUCUUCUGGAUAACCGCAUGAAAGUGUGGCUAAUACGGGAUAUUCUGGGUCUGUCGCAUGAUGGGUCUGGGAAAGAUAUUGUUUCGGUGGGGGAUGGGCUCGCGGCCUAUCAGCUUGUUGGUGGGGUGAUGGCCUACCAAGGCGGUGACGGGUAGCCGGCCUGAGAGGGUGGACGGUCACACUGGGACGGAGACACGGCCCAGACUCCUACGGGAGGCAGCAGGGGGGAAUAUUGCACAAUGGGCGCAAGCCUGAUGCAGCGACGCCGCGUGAGGGAUGGAGGCCUUCGGGUUGUGAACCUCUUUCGCCAGUGAAGCAGGCCUGCCUCGUUUGUGGGUGGGUUGACGGUAGCUGGAUAAGAAGCGCCGGCUAACUACGUG
rnacentral:rRNA from 1 species